ensembl:snRNA U6 U6 spliceosomal RNA
GUGCUCACUUUGGCAGCACAUAUACUAAAAUUGGAAUGAUACAGAGAAGAUAGCAUGUCUCCCGCGCAAGGAUGACACGCAAAUUCGUGAAGCAUUCCAUAUAUUU